rnacentral:lncRNA from 1 species
CAAGCAGAUGAUUCAAGGCUGAGAAUACAUUCUGAUGCCGACACAGACAAUGGAACAGACAGACAAGGUCAGACGCAGGAAAUGUGGUACUUGGAGCACCGUUAGCCCGGACUAGCAUGAGCCUCUGGGGAUUCUCUAUGGAAGUCUUCGGACGCCCUGGGUGGUUUCUGAGAACAGGUUACAAAUCCAGACACCCCUCUUCUGCCUGUUAAGAAACUGGACUGUCCUCCAUUAACCACAAGGCCCGCGGUUACCAGGACUUCUCAGAGUCAUUCAUUAAAAUCUUCAUAUUGAGGUAAAUAAUUCGGUCACUUUGCAGACAGAAAAACGCAGGCAUGGAACUGAGACACAGCUUCGUCUCUCCUGGUCAGCAUCCCUUUCCUCUGUUUACCCCUCCAUGGACACCAAGGUUCCCUGCCACUGUUUGCCAGUCCCCUUAGAACAGCUCCAUAUGCCAGAAACUCUGCCCAUCUGUGUGACCUUAAACAGCCUGUAUCCUGUCCAUACCUCGUUUGUGAUAUUGUAGCUUGAGGUCCUGUGAGGAACAGCCAGAAAGAGGAGGUAGGCUCUGGAUGCCUGCUCUGUGGGAUGGUGCACAGAGGCCUGAGCACAUCUGGCACGAUCCAGAAACUCCUGGAGAAAUUCAGGCUGGGUAAUUACCUACGACUUCCUAGGAUAACACAGCUCUGUUUCAUCAUUAUUCUCUCUGUGUCUGUCUGUCUGUCUGUCUGUCUGUCUGUCUCUCUCUCUCUCUCUCACACACACACACACAGAGACAGAGACUGAGAGACAGAGAUAGAGAGACAGAGACAGAGACAGACAGAGACACAGAGAGAAUUAGAUUCUUCCAGAAACUGCAACCUGUUUCUAUACCUUCACCUUUCCUGAGGGGAUAACAAUUCACAUCCAUGAAUAAAAGUUGUUUUACUGAUCAC